rnacentral:rRNA from 1 species
AACGCUAGCUACAGGCUUAACACAUGCAAGUCGAGGGGCAGCACAGUGUAGCAAUACACGGGUGGCGACCGGCGCACGGGUGCGUAACGCGUAUCCAACCUUCCCGAUACUCAGGGAUAGCCUUCCGAAAGGGAGAUUAAUACCUGAUGGUGUUCAAAUUCCGCAUGUUAUUUGAACUAAAGAUUUAUCGGUAACGGAUGGGGAUGCGUGACAUUAGGUAGAUGGCGGGGUAACGGCCCACCAUGCCCACGAUGUCUAGGGGUUCUGAGAGGAAGGUCCCCCACACUGGAACUGAGACACGGUCCAGACUCCUACGGGAGGCAGCAGUGAGGAAUAUUGGUCAAUGGCCGGAAGGCUGAACCAGCCAAGUAGCGUGAAGGAUGAAGGUUCUAUGGAUUGUAAACUUCUUUUAUACGGGAAUAAAACCACCUACGUGUAGGUGCUUGUAUGUACCGUAUGAAUAAGCAUCGGCUAACUCCGUGCCAGCAGCCGCGGUAAUACGGAGGAUGCGAGCGUUAUCCGGGUUUAUUGGGUUUAAAGGGAGCGUAGACGGGGGAUUAAGACAGUUGUGAAAGGCUGCGGCUCAACCGCAGCACUGCAGUUGAUACUGGUUUCCUUGAGUGCGGUUGAGGUGUAUGGAAUUCGUGGUGUAGCGGUGAAAUGCUUAGAUAUCACGAAGAACUCCGAUUG